rnacentral:sRNA from 1 species
GCUGGACAUGGUGGCACACGCCUGUAAUCCCAGCAGCUUAGGAGGCUGAGGCAGGAGGAUCUUGAGUUCAAAGCCAGCCUCAGCAAAAGUGAGGUGCUAAGUAACUUAGUGAGACCCUGUCUCAA